ACGUCAGUGAGGUACAUCCUUACCUGUUACCUUAGAAAUAAGGUUUCAGUACAUGAUGAUUGGAUUCUAUGAAUGCGUGAUUAUUUUCCGUGUUUGUUAAGGGCUGCAACCCCUUGACGAAUCCUUUCUGAA